GGAUGUGAGGGCAAUCCGGCUGUGGUGUCGAUCAUCCCAGUGAUUGCCACGGUUGAUUGUGCUCCCUUCUUUUCUUACAACUCCCCAUGUGUCCCUCCCAAAACUGCUUGUUUGACUAGAGAGAAUUAAUUGUCUUCUAGAAGAGCAGGGCCUACUGGCCUUUGGUCAAAGGUAUAGAAAUAGCUGCACUUCAUAGCUAGAACCUCCAAAAACUUUUAAGAAUGCAAAAGUCUUCAGGACUGUCUCUCAGGAGCCAACAAUACUCAAACCACUCAAUCAUGUUUGGUUUUAUUU
rnacentral:snRNA from 1 species